UACGUAGGUGGCAAGCGUUGUCCGGAAUCAUUGAGCGUAAAGAGCGUGUAGGCGGCCAGAUAAGUCCGCUGUGAAAUCUCGAGGCUCAACUUCGAGCUGUCGGUGGAAACUGUCUGGCUAGAGUCCGGAAGAGGAGAAUGGAAUUCCUGGUGUAGCGGUGAAAUGCGCAGAUAUCAGGAAGAACACCCGUGGCGAAGGCGGUUCUCUGGGACGGUACUGACGCUGAGACGCGAAAGCGUGGGGAGCGAACAGG
rnacentral:rRNA from 1 species